rnacentral:lncRNA from 1 species
GGGGGCUCCCUUGUGCAUUGUAGGAUAUUUAGAGUAUCUCUAGCCUCUGCUCACUAGAUGCCACUAGCACUUCCUCCUCAAAUUGUGACAGAGAUUUCUGUGUUCCCAGGAGUGAGCUGGGACAGAAUUCCUCCCCCCAGCCCCUCUGAGAACCAUCGAGAAGCCGCCUUGCCUGGUUUGCUCUUACUUGAGAGUUAGAUAGCACAGGCUGGUUAAUUAGAGCAAAAACAAAUUUUAUAUUCCUUGGAUCAGAUAAUAGUAAUGCCAGGUCCCAGGGGUAUGUAGGGAGGUGGGGUGUCAGUCCCUUAAGUUGAAAAGACAAAUAGUAAUGACAAACUUCAAACAGGUGAAUUCUGUAACAACAGGUUCUAUACCCUGAAAAAUGGGCUCUAUUUGGGUUAACAAGGCUGCCACCAUGUGGCUUGUUGACAUUCUUUACCUCUUAAAGCCCCUUUUAUGUAGCACCUGAAGCACUUGUGGAUCCCCCCAGAAUACCAUACUCUUUCCUUUGGACUUUUGUCCAAAAUUCUCUUGCUGUCAGGCAAGUGUUGCCUAAUUUAUUUCUGGUUUGGAGGAGUUCAAGCUGCUGAGUUGAAGGAAAGAAAGGAGAUGGAGUGGAAAUUUUGGAGCCCAGAGAAAUCCUGGAGAACUCAGAUCUCUAUAAGAAAUUUUUUUUUUUUUUUUGCUUUUUAGGGGCCACACUCGUGGCAUAUGGAGGUUCCCAGGCUAGGGGUCUAAUUGGAGCUACAGCUGCCAGCCUACGCUACGGCCAGAGCAACGCCAGAUCCGAGCCACGUCUGCGACCUGCACCACAGAUCACAGCAACGGCAGAUCCUUAACACACUGGUCGAGGCCAGGGAUUGAACCCGCAACCUCAUGGUUCCUAGUUGGGUUUACUUCUACUUCGCUACGAUGGGAACUCCAAGAGAAACUUUGAUGCUCAUGGUCUUUCUGAAAAUCCAAGGAAGUUUGGCAUUCUGGUUGAGGAAGAUGCAUUUGACUGGCUUUCAUGAGUUUGUACACUCAGUGAAUGAGAUGCUGAGCAUGUUCUAGGCCCUGGUAUCUUCUGGGACAGGGCAUCAAGGCCCCAGCUUUUGUGGAAUUUAUGUUCUAGUGGAAUUGUUGAUUAAAAGUGUUUAGGG